UUUCAGAGGCAAAUAUUUUUUUUGUCCAACUUGCUUACAAGAGAGAGCGCAGCAAUGUGAGCAACUGGAGAAAAGAAGGGGAUUUUCAAGAUCCUUUUUCAUUGCUGCUCCUUGAAGCAAAUUCAGCAUUAUGACAUUGAAUAUAUCUCAAUUUGCCGGAAAUUCACAAUGAAAUCCUUUGAUGGCUCUUUGAGUGAAGCAACUUUAACAUGAUAUCAUUAAGUGUUUCUUGAAGAAUCAAGGUCAUAAAAUGUACUUGAUGAAACAAGCGUGCUCAAUGGUUUCCACGUUUCCUUGGUAUAGAUUCAUUUCUAAGGCACAUAAAUUUACUUGUUCAAGUAUUGGCUUUAAUGCUUUGUGGCUUUCUUGAGAGAGUGGCUGGAUUCCACCAUCUAUCGAAGAGAAGAUUUUCAAUAACAUUCUUCACUUGCCUUUCUGAGUUUUGAAGGAUGGGAGAAGGAAAAGAAGAAUUACAAUCAGGACAUAUCUUCAUUCCUUAUAACAAGAUGCUGCCUCGAGUUAAAGACAAUACUGUCAGGGUGCCUUCUCCAUAGGACAACUCUGAAACAAUGCAGACUCAUUUCAGCAGCACAUAGAUUAAGUUGUUGAAGUGCUAUAAUGUUUUGUGGUCUACAAGAGAUAGAAGAUCAAAAUGUGACCAGCCAAAGAAGAUAAAAAGAUUUGAAGUCAUUUUAUGCAAUUUAACAUAUAUUGAGGUCUAGUUUAGUUCUCUGUAAGCUCUCCGUUUUACCUAAUUUUUCUCUGGAUUAUGUACUUGGAAAAUCUGGCAGUCUUCUCAAAAUAACAACCUGGAUUUUCAGACCAGUCAAAAGCAGUUACAACAGCGAACCUGAAGCUUCAUAAUGUCCAUAAUUGAGUUUUGAUGAAGUGAACCAAGGUUUAUAUGUCAUUAAAUAUUUCUCGAAGAAUGAAGACCAUAAGACCAUGUAUGACAGGAGCUUGGCAUUUUGAGAGCUCUUAUCAUGCUGGGCAAGACUGACAGAGGCUAUUCACCUUGAAAUAUACAACAUAACCUCUGUACUUACUUCUUUAAGUGUAGUUUCAUGCACAAGAGCUGAGGAAAAGAUGAUUAGGCUUCUUACAGAAGAAGUCCCAAAUACACGAACAUGGUUACGACAGUCCCAGCACUGAUAGCCAUUAGAACCUUAAUUAUCCAUCCUGAUCCUGAAAAAUGUGGAAUGUUUUCCCAUGUCGCGGCAACGGAAGAAGUAGCCACGAAUGACGCAGCCACUCACAUGACCUUGGAUGGAAGCUCAAGUAAAUCCUCUGUUCACAUUGGUUCCAUGAUUGAUGUAGGCAAGAAACCAAAACAUUUGUUGACAUGCUUGUGUCGAGGCCAGGCACAACUUCUGCCUGCUGGCAAAGUUGGAAGUCUAAGGGCAGUUCACACUGUUGCCCAUAUCAAUCCUUUGGAGUUUUGAAGUAUCAGCUAUUGAGAAUGUAUUUCUGAGACCACUGGU